UGCAAAUGCACUCUGUGUCACAUCGAAUUUAACUACAUGUGAAAACAAUUUGUUAGUUUGCUAUAGGAAAGAGAUGAGACUUAUCCGUGCAAUUAGUGCCGUAAAAGGUUGAUUGCAUUGAAAUCGCAUUUUACACUA
rnacentral:snoRNA from 2 species